UACAGAGGGUGCAAGCGUUAUCCGGAUUUAUUGGGUUUAAAGGGUGCGUAGGCGGCUCCUUAAGUCAGCGGUGAAAGCCCGGGGCUCAACCCCGGAACCGCCGUUGAUACUGGGGGGCUUGAGUACAGACGAGGUAGGCGGAAUGGAUCGUGUAGCGGUGAAAUGCAUAGAUACGAUCCAGAACUCCGAUUGCGAAGGCAGCUUACUAGGCUGUAACUGACGCUGAGGCACGAAAGCGUGGGGAGCGAACAGG
rnacentral:rRNA from 1 species